rnacentral:rRNA from 1 species
UUACACCCAUAAACGCCGGGAACUACGAGCCGCGCUUAAAACCCAAAGGAUUUGACGGUGUCCCACCCCCCUAGAGGAGCCUGUUCUUUAAUCGAUGAUCCCCGUUACACCCUACCACCUCUUGCUUAUCAGUCUGUAUACCUCCGUCGAAAGCUUACCAUGUGAACGUUACCACAGUAAGUUCAAUGACUAACAUCAAUACGUCAGGUCAAGGUGCAGCUUAAGAGGCGGAAAGUGAUGGGCUACAAUUUCUAAUCUAGAACAAACGAAAGAUUAUGUGAAACCAUAGUCACGAAGGCGGAUUUAGUAGUAAAAAGAAAAUAGAGUGUUCUUUUGAACCCGGCUCUGGGACGUGUACACACCGCCCGUCACCCUCUUCGAUAGUGCUAUCCAAUAGUUUAUAACCAGUUUCUACGUCUUAGAAGAGGUAAGUCGUAACAUGGUAAGUGUACUGGAAGGUGCACUUGGUAUAUUACAAAAUAUAGCUUAA